rnacentral:rRNA from 1 species
GACGAACGCUGGCGGCGCGCCUAGCACAUGCAAGUCGAACGGAGUCAAGAGGAGCUUGCUUUUCUUGACUUAGUGGCGAACGGGUGAGUAACGCGUGAGUAACCUGCCCUGGAGUGGGGGACAACAGUUGGAAACGACUGCUAAUACCGCAUAAGCCCACGGAUCCGCAUGGAUCUGCGGGAAAAGGAUUUAUUCGCUUCAGGAUGGACUCGCGUCCAAUUAGCUAGUUGGUGAGGUAACGGCCCACCAAGGCGACGAUUGGUAGCCGGACUGAGAGGUUGAACGGCCACAUUGGGACUGAGACACGGCCCAGACUCCUACGGGAGGCAGCAGUGGGGGAUAUUGCACAAUGGGGGAAACCCUGAUGCAGCGACGCCGCGUGGAGGAAGAAGGUUUUCGGAUUGUAAACUCCUGUCGUUAGGGACGAUAAUGACGGUACCUAACAAGAAAGCACCGGCUAACUACGUG